AGCAGGUCAGGCAGGAUGAGGCCGGGAGGUUUGGGUUCAACACAGUUGAUCCAGAAGUUGGCACAGCUGGCGUGAUACUGGUGUCCCCCAUAGGCCAGCUUGAAGCUGUCUGUUUCAGAGUUGAAUGCCUGCCAGAAAUAAGCAGAUAUGUGGGACACAUCAGUCUGCUUCUGCACCACAGAGCUGGUCAGCAACCGGCACGUGCAACUCUCCGGGUCACAGAGGCUGAGGCCACACUGGCGCACACACAGAAGCUGAACAGAUUCCAGGGCUUCAUAAAAAUCCCCGCUGUGGUCGCAGACCUUCCAGUGAAGUGGGCUAGAAACGGUUGUUCCCAGAGGUCAUGUGAGGAAAGCACCUUGCCAUCUGCAGGGGGAAGGGAAGGCGUAUCACUUACCCGGCUUCUGGAGUCCACGUUUAAAAGGCACACCCCACAGGCCAGUUCCUGAGCAUUUUUAAUCCCAGGCCGUAGCAUACAGGAGGAAAAAUCCAGUGAAUUUUCAUCGGGCUAUGAGGACAAGACAAAUGGUCAGCUCUACGCUGCCCAGUGGGGCUUGAACUCACAACCCUGAGACCAAGAUCUGAGCUGAAAUCAAGAGUCAGUCUCUUGACUGAUGGAGCCAACCAGGUACCCUGAAAAUUCUUCAUUUCUUAAAAGUUAAAAUAUGUAUCUACUAUAUGAUCUUAUAUGCAUUUCUACACCUUGAUAUUUAUCCAAGAGAAAUGAAAACAUGUUAUCAAAAGUUUUGUACAAAAAGUGUUCAUAGUAACUAUUCACAUUAGCCAAGCUGGAAAUAGCAUGUGUCUAUAAAUAAAAAUUCACAGUAUAUCAAUACAAUGGAACAGUACUCACUGAUAAAAGGGAUCAAAUUGAUACACACAACAAUGCAGAUAAAAUUUUAAAACAUGCUAAGAAGCCAGACACAAGAACCUAUAUAUACUAUAUAAUUUUAUAUAAAGUUCUAGAACAACCAUCUCUGUGGUGAUAAAAGUCUAUGGAAAAUAGAUCAGU